GCCUGGCUGGCUCAGUCGGAAGAGCAUGUGACUCAUGACCUUGGGGUCAUGGGUUCAAGCCCCAUGCUGGGUG